GGAUUGUGGCUCAGCGGUAGAGCAUUCGCCUUGCACGGGCAGGACCCGAGUUCAAUCCUCAGCACCA
rnacentral:tRNA from 1 species